rnacentral:lncRNA from 1 species
AGAAUUACACUUGACAGAGGCAGAGGAAAAUGCCUGCAGUCUGCAGCAUAGGAGGAAAAAAAGCGUUUCUUGUCUUCUAGUGUGCAGUGCCCAUGAAGUAUAGCAUCAAGAAACUAAUGCAAAACUGCAGAGAUCUUUCCGUGAGAUAAUUGAAUAUAAAAUCAUGAUUGCUUUUUACAAAUUUGGAUUCAUCCCAAAUCCAUUGUUCUUCAAAGGCAGGAAAAGUGAUCAGAGAAAAGGUGGACGGUAACAACACUUCACCUUGAGCUGUUAGAAUACCAGCAUUUAGCAUAACUGAUAUUUGUUGCAAUUAAGCCAUGCUACGUUGAGUGCAAAUGGGCAACUACAAUGAGGACCACUGGACUUCUGAAGUUCAAGUUCUAUUCUGUCUGAAGACAAUUUCCCUGCCAGAGGUCAAACUUUAGCACACACAUGCCAACACAGAAGUCAUAGUCCUGCAUUGUAAGUGAAA